AUUGAACGCUGGCGGCAGGCCUAACACAUGCAAGUCGAACGGUAACAGGAAGCAGCUUGCUGCUUCGCUGACGAGUGGCGGACGGGUGAGUAAUGUCUGGGAAACUGCCUGAUGGAGGGGGAUAACUACUGGAAACGGUAGCUAAUACCGCAUAACGUCGCAAGACCAAAGAGGGGGACCUUAGGGCCUCUUGCCAUCGGAUGUGCCCAGAUGGGAUUAGCUAGUAGGUGGGGUAACGGCUCACCUAGGCGACGAUCCCUAGCUGGUCUGAGAGGAUGACCAGCCACACUGGAACUGAGACACGGUCCAGGCUCCUACGGGAGGCAGCAGUGGGGAAUAUUGCACAAUGGGCGCAAGCCUGAUGCAGCCAUGCCGCGUGUAUGAAGAAGGCCUUCGGGUUGUAAAGUACUUUCAGCGGGGAGGAAGGGAGUAAAGUUAAUACCUUUGCUCAUUGACGUUACCCGCAGAAGAAGCACCGGCUAACUCCGUG
rnacentral:rRNA from 1 species